rnacentral:rRNA from 1 species
UACGGAGGGGGCUAGCGUUGUUCGGAAUUACUGGGCGUAAAGCGCGCGUAGGCGGACCUGCAAGUCGGGGGUGAAAUCCCGGGGCUCAACCUCGGAACUGCCUUUGAUACUGUAGAUCUCGAGUCCGAUAGAGGUGAGUGGAAUUCCUAGUGUAGAGGUGAAAUUCGUAGAUAUUAGGAAGAACACCAGUGGCGAAGGCGGCUCACUGGAUCGGUACUGACGCUGAGGUGCGAAAGCGUGGGGAGCAAACAGG